UAGUCUGACUUACAGCAUUGGCGUUGCCUCCGACCUGCAUACAUCUGAGCUGGAACCAGUUCCAGUUGGAGUCUAACUCGGUGGACCUGAGAGGAAAGAAAAGAACAAAAGAAAGUCAGCGCUGCAGAACGUCAUGUACACCGUGUCGAUACAGAUUCUCAGUAACACUGAGUCUUACCUGAUGAAGCUGAGAUGAACUCCCAGGGAGCGGUGGAUGCCCGAGCAGUCGAUGCACAAGAACACGCCGUAAGAGAUGCUCGCCCAGCUCGGGUUUUUGGCUGCGCAGUCAAAACAUGCCUGCAAGGAAACAGCGUUUACACAAACAAUUAUUACACGGGGCGACUUUGAUGAAAUCUGUAACGAACAUCAACAUGGUUUUGGGAAGUAGCGCAGUACGGUUGCCAGUUCCAGUCCCGGUGAGGUACCCUUGAGCAAGGCACUGAACCCUCCUCCACCACCAGCUCAGGAGCUGGGCAGCCCGCUCGCCGUGGUCAGCCGGGCCACUCUAACAUCUCUCAUGUCCAUAGAAUCCUGUUUGCGCACGUGUGUAUAUUUCAGUCUAUGCUUGUAAAUGUAAUUUCCCCUUGCGGAAUCAAUAAAGUAAACUCUACAAUUCACUUAGCAGACGCUUUUAUCCAAAGCGACGUACA